rnacentral:rRNA from 1 species
CCUACGGGAGGCAGCAGUGAGGAAUAUUGGUCAAUGGGCGAGAGCCUGAACCAGCCAAGUCGCGUGAGGGAGUACUGCCCUAUGGGUUGUCAACCUCUUUUGUCGGGGAGCAAAAUCCGGCCCUUUCCGUCUGUGAUAGUACCCGCAUGAAUAGCAUCGGCUAACUCCGUUCCAGCAGGCGCGGUAAUACGGAGGAUUCGAGGGUUACCCGGGUUUUUUGGGUUUAAAGGGUGCGCAGGCGGAUUUUUACGGCAGCGGGAAAAUCGUGGGGCAAAACCCCGUCCAGCCGUUGAAACUGGGGAUCUAGAGUGUGCGGAAGGUAGGCGGAAUGCGUGGUGUAGCGGUGAAAUGCAUAGAUAUCACGCAGAACCCCGAUUGCGAAGGCAGCAUACCGGGGCGCAACUGACGCUGAGGCACGAAGGCGUGGGUAUCGAACAGGAUUAGAUACCCUUGUAGUC